GACAGAGGGUGCAAACGUUGUUCGGAAUUACUGGGCGUAAAGCGUGUGUAGGCGGCCAAGCAAGUCGGAUGUGAAAGCCCCAGGCUCAACCUGGGAGGUGCACCCGAUACUGCCUGGCUUGAGUAUCGGAGAGGUUGGUGGAAUUCUCGGUGUAGAGGUGAAAUUCGUAGAUAUCGAGAGGAACACCGGUGGCGAAGGCGGCCAACUGGACGAAUACUGACGCUGAGACACGAAAGCGUGGGGAGCAAACAGG
rnacentral:rRNA from 1 species